rnacentral:lncRNA from 1 species
GAUUUAUUAGAACGACUUAUAGGCUGUGGUCCAACAAUGGCUGACUAACAGUGAAAGGUCCAAGAAGCCAGAAGUUGUUCAGUCCACAAGGCUGGAUGUCCCACAUGGUUUUCAGUAUAAGCAGAAUCCUGAAGAAGUAGGCUCUAAUGGCAGUGAAGUAAUACCUUUGAUUCCAGCACGUAGGAGGCAGAGACAGAUCUCUUGAGUUGGUGGCUUGAAAGAAGCAGGAGUGUGGAAGGUUGGCAGGUUCAUUUUUAAUAUUUCCCGCAAUGAAAAAGUCAUUCAAAGAAUCCCAUAAGCAAUUUUCUACACAUUGGUCCAACCCUGGGAUAGGAACAGCAGAAUUCUGUUUAAUAAGUCCUCAGCCUAUCUCGGUUCCACAUUUGUGUGUUCCUGGUGGGCUGGGUCUCAGAGAUCUCAGAAAUAGAACAACCAGUCCUAGAGCAAACAAACAAACAAACAAUCAAUCAAACAAAUGAUGAAUAUGUUCAAGCCAAAGCCAAGUCUAGAGCUGAGGAUUCAGCUCAGUAGUGCCAUGCUUGCUU